rnacentral:rRNA from 1 species
UGGGGAAUUUUGGACAAUGGGGGAAACCCUGAUCCAGCCAUCCCGCGUGUGCGAUGAAGGCCUUCGGGUUGUAAAGCACUUUUGGCAGGAAAGAAACGUCGCGGGUUAAUACCCCGCGAAACUGACGGUACCUGCAGAAUAAGCACCGGCUAACUACGUGCCAGCAGCCGCGGUAAUACGUAGGGUGCAAGCGUUAAUCGGAAUUACUGGGCGUAAAGCGUGCGCAGGCGGUUCGGAAAGAAAGAUGUGAAAUCCCAGAGCUUAACUUUGGAACUGCAUUUUUAACUACCGGGCUAGAGUGUGUCAGAGGGAGGUGGAAUUCCGCGUGUAGCAGUGAAAUGCGUAGAUAUGCGGAGGAACACCGAUGGCGAAGGCAGCCUCCUGGGAUAACACUGACGCUCAUGCACGAAAGCGUGGGGAGCAAACAGGAUUAGAUACCCUGGUAGUCCACGCCCUAAACGAUGUCAACUAGCUGUUGGGGCCUUCGGGCCUUGGUAGCGCAGCUAACGCGUGAAGUUGACCGCCUGGGGAGUACGGUCGCAAGAUUAAAAACUCAAAUG